rnacentral:rRNA from 1 species
UGUAAGCGUAUACCAAAGUUGUUCCAGUUAAAACGCUCGUAGUCGGAAUUUGGCAGUUCCGGAUGUGUGCACGUCGUGUGCGCACUUCGCGGGGAUUGCUUUUGUGGUCUUGCGUAGGAUGAGGCACUUUUAUUAGUGAACGUCCUCACGCAACCACUUUUUACUGUGAGAAAAUCAGAGUGCUCAAAGCAGGCAUUUGCCGUGAAUGUAUUAGCAUGGAAUAAUAGAAUAGGACUUGGUUCUAUUUUGUUGGUUUGUUGGGACUGAGUAAUGAUUAAGAGGGACAGUUGGGGGCAUUUGUAUUUCGGUGCUAGAGGUGAAAUUCUUAGAUUACCGAAAGACAAACUGCUGCGAAAGCGUCUGCCAAGGAUGUUUUCAUUGA